UUGCGUUAUACUAAACUAGUUUGUGGAUAGUGCUACGUCUUCUGGUUUACCAUGUUUCAUUCUGUUGAUAUUGUCAGUCAACUGUGUUCUGAAUGGACAUUUAUCGAUGUGUUAUUAAGAUCAGGAUUUGUGAAAUUUAAAGAAAUAUAAGUAGUUGCAAUAAUCCAACUCCCGCCUAUAUACCAGGUCUCUGGAAGUUGCAACUGGUGACACAAUUUUUCACGGAAACUUUGCCGCCCGGAUUCCAAGGGGCUCUUUAAUUGACUUUGUGCAUUGUUUUCUUCCAUGUACCGGAAGUGAUCCGUUACUGGCGACUAAACUGUACAUUGAGUAUCUCCGGAUCGAAUCCUGGACAAGAUAGAUCUCCAGUCAAAUCAACCACUCUUGUUAUAACACCAACUAUCUCGGGAACCUCCAACCAUGUCAGCACUGUUGAAGGAUGAAGAUAAAAGUCAAUCUGACUUGAACAAUCAUGAAUACCAUGAUGAAACUAACAAUCAUGCCUCAGUAAUGGCAUCUGAACCAGUGGAUACAGAUGCAUUUCUUUCUGCCAAGGACAUUAAGCAUAUUGACAAACACCCUGACCCAGCAGAAACUAAUGUCAUACCAGACAACUACAAGCAUUUGCGACUUUGCGCUAGACUUAAAGUAGACUUGCCUUACAGACGAAGAUUUAUUCAUUCCUUUUGGCUUUUCUGGAGUUUUAUAGGCUUGGGAUGGAUUCUAGGACAAAUGGGGCCAUCGUUUACAGACCUACGGCAGAUUGUUAAUGAAGACCUGGAGUCAGCGUCCUGGCUGUUUACUAUCUGUUCCAUGGGAUACUUGCUUGGCUCUAUUGUUGGGGGGAUCCUCUACGACAGAUUUGACAAGCUUAUGCUGAUAGCCCUGUCCUGUUUCCUCAUGGGAUUGUCAACUGGAUUCGUGCCCUACUGCGAGAGCUUCCCCUUGAUGCUGUCCAUGCGUUUCUUGGCAGGACUUGGAGCCGGGGGUCUGGACACAGGUGGCAAUGCAGAUAUGGUUUCAAUAUGGGAUGCUGAAGGGAGGCCCUACAUGCAGGCAUUGCAUGCCUGUUUCGGAUUUGGCGGAAUUAUUUCCCCUCUGGUAACAGAACCAUUCCUUUCCAAGAAAUUUGAGGUCAUUUCUGAGCUCAACGUAACUGGCGAGCUCAACGUAACUGGGGCUGCCAAUACAACCGGGACUACAACAGUGUACGGUAAAACAAGCAUCCAUAAUUCGUACCUCAUCUCGCUGUUCAUCGCUUUAUCAGGAGGAAUUCCAUUCUUGAUGAUGUUUGUUCGCAAAAAGUGUUCAAAGACGACUAGAGACAUGGUCGCUCCAAGACUCAACCAGAAACGACCUGACAAGCUAUCUCUGGGACUAAAAGCCUUUUUGUGUAUCUUACUUUCACUUAUGAUGCUACUGUAUUGCGCUGUGGAAGACACAUUCUCUGGUUUCCUAGCAACCUUUUGCGUAAAUUAUCUCAAAUGGGAUAAAGGUAUUAGUAGUUUUGCGACGAGCUUACACUGGGUGGGAUUCUCCAUUGGACGAUUUUUGGGAAUUUUCUUAAUUACAUUCUUUCGGCCUGUGCAACUUUUGUGCUCUUAUCUGGUUUUCCUGAUACUGGCGUUCAUAGCUUUCACGGUAUGUAGUGUCACAUUAACAGAAAUCGGCGUAUGGAUCUUCAUUCCCUUGGCUGGUUUUUCAAUGUCCGUGAUUUUCCCGUGCAUUUUCACUUGGACCGAAGAAAGCAUUUUGAAAGUGACUGGAAAAAUAUCCUCCAUGUUUCUGGUAGCUGCGUCGUCUGGACUGCUUAUCAAUCCUUUAAUAGUUGGUAACUUGAUGCAACAUAUCAACCCGCUGGCUUUUGUUUUCGUUUUAUUGACGGAAUGCUUCCUUUGCUUUGGAACGUUUUUGCUCAUUUUCUUCCUGGUGAAAAAGUUUAUUAAAAACCCUCCGAGUAGCGCUGACACAGAAAUUGUGGUUUCCCCUUCAACGGAAAUGAAACCAUUAACAGCUAGUUCUGAUUAACAAUUUAUCCUUGCUACUAUAAAGACUAUAACUAUGACCAAUUAAUUUGAAACCAAUAUUAUUGUUCUGAAACCAGUUUUUGUGGGUGCACUCAACCACAAAAUCAAAUGUUCAACAACCCUUACGUCCAACCAAAUUUCAUGCCAAAGACACGAAAUAAAUUCACAGUAUAAAUCUUUUGUUUUCUCUUGCCUAACAAAAGUUUUUUAAGGUUGCCAUCGUGUAAUGGAUAUGGUGUCCGCCUAGCGACCAGGAGGUCAUGGGUUCGAACCCCACCGUGGGAGCGUUCUUUAGAUCUCCACCAAAGACACCAAGUACUGGUUCUAGGCCCAGGAAACGGACUCGAGAGCGUUUAUAUAAGCGUUCAGCUUUUGAUGCAAUCGAGCUAAAAUUAAUAGGUUUAAACUAAAGGUUUUCAGAAUACGAAACAUGGUUUUAACAAUAUUUAACUAUUUUGAUUACUAUUAGCUAAAAGAUUUUUAAACCUCUGUUACUUUUGAAUAUGUACAACUGUAUGCAGAUAAAGAUAGGCAUACAAAACCGAGCUGUGUAAUUUUCCCUUUCACAAACAUUGUUGCCGCUCCUUUCUGCAUUGUCUAAGACUAAAGAAUAUGAUUUAAAUUGAUAUAUUUAAAAAUUGCUUGAAUUUUGAGACAAACACGGCAUUGAACACCUCCAUCAAUAUCAUUCUUCAUGUAGAACAUUUUGUUGAUGCCAUGUUCACCAGUGGAGGCUUGUAUAUAUGCAAACACUGACCGCAUUUUUCCUGGUUUUAUGUCUAUUCUUUAUUUUUAAGUCUAAGAAUGGGUUGAUGAAUACGAGCCCAGAUUGUUAAACUAUAUGAUGCUAUGUCUCUAAAGCUUUUUAUGCCCUCCAAUGAUCAGGGGUAUAUUGUUUUGGCCUGUCUGUCUGUCAUUGUAUGUGUGUGUCUGUGUGUCUGUCCCAAAACUUUAACCUUCGUCAUUACUUUUGCAAUAUUGAAGAUAGCAACUUGAUAUUUGGCAUGCAUGUGUAUCUCAUGGAGCUGCGUAUUUUGAGUGGUGAAAGGUCAAGGUCAUCCUUCAAGGUCAAAGUCAUUUUUUUCUAAAAUAGCUGCCAUGCGGCUUCAAAGCGGCGCAGUAGGGGGGCAUUGUGUUUCCCCAACACAGCUCUUGUUAUCAAAGAUAUGGUGAAGUUGAUACUUGUUUUGUUUUAUUGUCCCGUACCAGUGAAAUCGGAGGGGACUUAUGGUUUGAGCUCUGUGUGUCAGUCCUUCAGUCCGUCACACUUUUCUGGAUCCUGCGAUAACUUAAAAAGUCCUUCAUAUUUUUUCAUUAAACUUGAAAAAUGAACAGAUGGUAAUAUGGAGAUUAUGCACGUCAAUUCAUUUUGUUCCUACGUCAAAAAUUGUGGUUGCUAUGGCAACAAAUGUAAAAAAAUACCGACAAUAGUGGAGUUUCACCGGUAGGGGACCAUAUUGCUUGGCAAUCUCUUGUUUUCAUUUUGCUUCAAAAAGUUAGAAGUCGUGUGCUCUGGUUUGUAACUUGAGUAGUUAAAGGAUAAUUUUAUUCAACUGUAUUCUAGUUGAUUGCUAAGUAAUUAUUGCUCUUACAGGUGUUGUGAAUGUGAGGCUUGGGGCUCCUUAAAACUGGUUUAAACCCUGGUGCUUUGAAUUGACUGUUCUGAGGUGGUGAUCCCAAGUUUAUUUUAUUGUUGUAUACUUUGUGUCUUACUGUUUUUUAAUUGAUUUAUUGCCAUAGAUAAAGGUUUGGAAUACGGUUAGGGCCAUCGUGAUUACACAUUAAAAUCCAGAGGGGGACAAUGCGAUAGUGCGAUAGUACAAUGGUGACAAUGCGAUAGUACAAUGGCGACAAUGCGAUAGUAUGAUGGCAACAAUGCGAUAGUAUGAUGGUGACAGUGCAACAAUGCGAUGGCGAUGGUGCAAUAGAAUGAUGGCAACGAUGCAAUAUUGUGAUAGUGUCAUAAUACAGUGACGACAGUGCGACAAUACGAUGGCGACAGUGUGAUAGUAAGAUUGCGACAAUGCGAUAGUGCAAUAAUACGAUGACGACAGUGCGACAAUGCGAUGGCGACGGUGCGAUAGGAUGAUGGCGACAAUGCAAUAGUGCAAUAAUACGAUGACGACAAUGCGACAAUGCAAUGACGACAGUGUGAUAGUACGAUGGCCACAAUACGAUAAUACGAUGACGACAGUACAUAAGCCGAUAGUACGAUGGCGAUAUUGCGAUGGUACGAUAAUACAAUUACGACAGUGCGACAUUACCAUGGCGAUGGUGCAAUAGUACGAUGGCGACAAUGCGAUAGUACGAUUAUACAAUGACGACAGUGCGACAAUACGAUGGCUUCAGUGCGAUAGUUCGAUAGCAACAAUGCGAUUGUGCAAUAAUACGAUGACGACAGUGCGACAAUGCGAUGGAGACAGUGCGAUAGUACGAUGGCGACAAUACAAUAAUAUGAUGACGACAGUACAACAACGCGAUAGUACGAUGGCCACAAUGCAAUAGUACGAUGGCGACAAUGCGAUGAUACGAUGGCGAAAGUAUGAUUAGAGUAUCACAUUGUCGCCAUCGUACUAUCACGUUGUCGCAUUGUCGCCAUCGUACUAUCACAUUGUCGCCCUCUGGAUUUUAAUGUGUAACCACAAUUGCCCUAACGGUAUUCCGUAUAAAAACCACAUGGUAUAAUUUGGUUUCUCUCCUUCUUGUGUUGCUGAUGUUUCAUUUUGUGUAUGUAUUGCCAAUUAUUACGAUUUAGUUGUAUCUUGCCUAAUAGGAAGGUUAUCAGCACAUGUGCAUGUAAUGACUUUAGUUUAAAGUUUUUUCUGGUAUACAAGUACGAUAUCUAUUUAUCUUUCAAACAUAUCCAUAUUUGGACAGUUCUAUGCUAUGAAAGGAAGGCAGAAUGCACAGUACAAGCCUUAACAUUUUAAUACUAGUGCAGGUGUUUUUUAAUGCCUCAUUGUAUUAUUUUCAACCAUAUGGGAUUUAUAGUCGAUCAACUAAUUACAUAAUAAAGGAAAUUGACUUUCAUCUAUCAAAUGUGUACUUAAAAAAAAUUGGAAACCAUUAUGGUUAUAGUUAAACGUGGUUGUGAAAAUCUGUAAAUACGUUAUUCCAGAAGAGCUUAUUGUCCCCUACCGGUCACACUUUUUUUGGAUCCUGCGAUAACUUUAAAAGUUCUUCAUAAUUUUCAUGAAACUUGAAACAUGAACAGAUGGCAAUAUGGAGAUUGUGCACGUCAUUUUAUUUUGUUCCUAUGUCAAGAAUUCUGGUUGCUAUGGCAACAAAUAAUUUUAUUUUUUUUUAAUCUGACAAGUGGAGUUUCACCGGUAGGGGACCAUAUUGCUUGAUAAUCUCUUGUUUUUCCUGUGCUAGUUUUCCAAAGGGACAUGUUCAAAAUUUGGCUAAAUGACACUUUUUUUUAUGUCAAAGAUUAAAUAAAUAAUGUAUGAAUUAUAUUGAAACAAGCAAAUAAACACUCCUGACUAAGAAAAAUAAAUAUGUGUAUGUUAAUUUAUUAUCAUAAAUUGAAAUUGUAAAAAUUAAAAAGCGUGGGUAACCCUUUUCAUCCAUUAUUUAGCAAAAGCAUCUACUAGUAUUACCAACGCAGUGCUUUAACUAUCAUAAUAGAUAGUUAAAACUAUCUUAGGUCGCCGUGGUGUAGUGGAUAUUGUGUCCGCCUAGCGAUCAGGAGGUCAUGGGCUCAAUUCCCUCUGUGGGAGCGUUUUUUAGAUUUCCCCCAUAGACACCAAAUCGGGACAGUCCAUUAAAAAUGUCGGGACAUUUGACCAAAAAGCAGGACACCUAAUCAUGCCACCUUUACUGAAGUCAGUAAUCAGCUAAUUACUUACAAAACCUCAUCAUUUCUGGCGUAUAUUGAUCAUAAAUGUGUUUAGAAUUGCAUGAACACAGACAUUCUCCAUUUUCCGGAAGUAAACAAACAUGUGCACUAUGCAGAUGAACCCAUUUGUGACUAAGGCAACGUUCAACGGGAUGUGCGCACAUCGAGCAAUAGUUCAAUAAUCAAUCAAUAAUUUGCCGAUAUAUCGCUGAUAAUGUGACAAAAACAACACUGGAUCACUCGACUAGUAGAUAUGGUUUAUUAAUAGGGGGCAAUAAAGGGAUUAGCGAUGGUAAUUGAAGCCAGAUUGAGCUUGAAUAGGGAAUUUUAUUGUGAACUUAAAGAGCGUAUAUCGUUUUGUUCGAAUAUCGGGACAAAUAGUGUUACAUCGGGACACCGGGACAAACACCCCAAAAGCAGGACUGUCCCACCAAGAUCGGGACGUCUGGCAUGUAUGCCAUCCUAUCUAUACUAUUGGUCAUACAAUCAUGGUGUUACAUGUACAAAAAUCAGGGAACAAAAUCAAUCCUGUUUCGUUAUAAAUCCUUUACGUUACAAAGUACUUAUUAAAAACAGAAUAUUUGAUAUUGGAAGAUUUGUUGAAAAUAGAAAAUAAAUAGAAAUUGUUGUAUGAGUGCUCCUUUGCAAAAUUGAGUGCAUGGUAUAAAAUAAAUCUUACAAUUGCAUUGAAAAUGUAUGUGUUUGUAUUGUUUAGACAUUGUUUAUGUGCCAUAGACAAUUUAGUUUUAAUUUGUGUUGUAUAAAGAUGUAAAAUAUUAUUCUUGUACUACUGGUGUAUUUUCUUUGCCAAUGACAUUUAUCUUGAUGGUUGUUUAUUAGAGUUCUUAAGAGCUUUUGCAUAUUAAUGAGCUAUACUUAAUCAGAUUUAUUAAUGCUAAACUGUAUAAUUUUCUGUUGUUUAAAUUUAUGUGUUAUAGUAUGGGUAAACAAAUUUAUUUCAUUUGGAAGUCGCCAUUGGAUAGCGGAUAUGGUAUCCAAAUAGCGACUGGGAGGUCACAAGUUGGAUUCCCACGUGGGAGUGGUCUUGAGAUCCCCCCCUUAGACACCAAGUACUGGUUCAAUUAACCCUUUGCAUGCUGGGUAAUUUGUCUUCUGCUAAAAUGUCGUCUGCUGAAUUCCUAAAAUAAGCAUUUUCUUCAUUUUUUUUCAAAGAAUACUAUCAGAAUAGCAAACAGUUUGGAUCCUGAUGAGACGCCACGUUCUGUGGCGUCUCAUCUGGAUCCAAACUGUUUGCAAAGGCCUUUAAAAUUCGGCUCCAGCGCUUUAAGGGUUAAGUCCCAGGAAAUGGACUUGAGAGCAUUUCAAAUAAGCCUUAGGCUAUUGACGCAAUCGGGUAAAACAAAUAGGUUAAAAAUAAAUGUAUUUUGUGCUUUAUUUCGAUUUAAGAAAACUUUCACUGAUUUAAAUCUGGUAAUUCAAUUUUCAAACAGUGACAAAUAACAAUUAAAAUGAUCAAUUAUGUUUAUUGACACCUUAUUAUUCCCUUAAAAAUGCAGUUCAUUUUCCUGUUUAAAAAUGUAAGUAAACUGUGGAAAAGCAUUAAAUAUUCAAAAAAA